rnacentral:lncRNA from 1 species
UUAUAUAUAUAUAUAUAUAUAUAAUUACUUUUUUAUAUAAAUAUAUUAUUACGUAAUAUUUUAUAUAUAAAUAAUAUUUAUAAAUAUAUAGUAAUUUAUUUUAUAGUAUUAAAUAUAUAUUAUUAUAUAUGAUAUUACAUAAUUAUUGUAUAAUAUGUUUUAAAUAUAUUUUAUUUAUAAAUAUAAACUAAAAAUAAUAAUAAAUAUAGUAUGAUAAUUAUUAUUUAUUAAUAAUAUAUAAUAAUAUAAAAUAAGAAAAAAAUAUAUAUUAAUUUACUUUUAUAAUUUUUUCUUUUUUUUUUUCAAUCAAUCACACAACCGUAAUAAAAAACUAUUUUUUUUCCUACAAACCAAACGCUAAAGAGCGUAAAACUUCUUUUCUUCCGAAAAAAAAUUUUGCACCGAAAAUUUUUUUCACAGUUUUACGUGGAACCAAACACACCUUAAGGCUUUUUCUUUUUUAUAAUCAUUUGAAUAAAUAUAACAAAACAAAUAAAUAACAUUUUCAAUUACGAUAAUAGAUUACUAUACUAUAGUUAAGAUAGGCCUCUAUAUGCAUAAACAUUUAAUAAAAUUUUACGUUUAAUUUCUUUUCUUUCUAAUACAUAUAAAAUAUUAUAAAUUUAUACACUUUUUUCUUAUUAAAAAA